rnacentral:rRNA from 1 species
CACCUCUAGCAUUUUAAGUAUUAGAGGCAUUGCCUGCCCAGUGACUAUAGUUAAACGGCCGCGGUAUCCUGACCGUGCAAAGGUAGCAUAAUCAUUUGUUCCUUAAUUAGGGACUAGUAUGAACGGCUAAACGAGGGUUCAACUGUCUCUUAUUUUCAAUCAGUGAAAUUGACCUUCCAGUGAAGAGGCUGGAAUAUAAAAAUAAGACGAGAAGACCCUAUGGAGCUUAAAUUAAUAAGCCUAAUUUUUAUAUUAACCUCCUAAUGGAACAAAACAAAAAAUAUAAGCUUAAAAUUUUGGUUGGGGUGACCUCGGAGAACAAAAAAUCCUCCGAAAGAUAUAUAACAUAGACUUACAAGUCAAAGUAACCCAGUUAUCCAAUUGACCCAAAAAAUUGAUCAACGGACCAAGUUACCCUAGGGAUAACAGCGCAAUCCUAUUUAAGAGUCCAUAUCGACAAUAGGGUUUACGACCUCGAUGUUGGAUCAGGACAUCCCAAUGGUGCAGAAGCUAUUAAUGGUUCGUUUGUUCAACGAUUAAAGUCAAC